AUGGUUAUAUAACAACGUGAAUAUACUUAAUGCCUCAAAGCUAUACACAUAAAAUUGGCUCAGAGGGUAAAUUUUAUAUUAUACAUCUUUACCACAAAAUUUAAAAAUCCAGAGGAACCCACCUUCAGUUUGGGGUCUGUCCUCCAACUCUCUGUAGGCUGUGUACCAGCAAACUGGCUUUCACAUCACUUAGUGCAGCUUUCUGCUCAUGUGGCUGCAAUGCUUUAAUCUUCCAUUUUGCAGUUCACUAUGUGGAACAGGCUCCCCCAGGAGUAAGUGAAUCACUAGAAUCAAGACGAACACUAGACAGGGAUGUUAGAGAAGAAAUUAAAAUGUUGAGUCAACGUGAGGUUUUACCACUCAACAUUUAAGGGACUGCGAGUCCUCUAAUUCCAUGAAUAUACUGGACAGCCUCACAGUCCUUUUGGAAUCAUCUGCCUUCCAAAUUCCAUUUCUGUAACUCCCAGUCGUUCUAUGUGAUACCCCAGGCAAGAUGCCUACCUCUUCUCUGGUUGUCUUUCUUUAAAAUAGACAUGAAUAUGUACUUGGAAACAAAAUGGACUAAAAUGUGUUUUAAGAUCCUUGAAUCAGAAUGGUGGUGUAAGGUGUAAUUGUUACCUCUUCAUGUGGCUAGUCAUCCAUUCCAUGCUGACUCUCACAGAAUACAAACUGCAAAGAAAAACCCAUGAACAGGCAAUAAAACACUUUUAGCAUCAGUUGGGAGGUGGACUGCACAACACCAGGGAGCACCACAAAUGUGAAUUUGAUGGCCCUUGUGAAUUGUGCUCCUGCACAUUGCUGUAUGUUACACCAACUGAAGCCCACAAGGCAGUGAGCACUAGGAGCAGGCUUGUUGUACCAGCUGAAAUUGAAUGCAAAGGUCAAUGAAGGUUUCAGAGGAUGAAUAAAUAAAGAACAAAGAGGCCUCUGUUUGAUCUGUUCUGACCACUAUCAAAAGAGAUUGCACUGCACCCUAUCAGAAGAGCCAGGGAAUGGAAGAAAGUAGUUGGAUGUGUAGAAGGGAUGCUACCAGGCAUUGCAGGGGGAAGACUCAUCGCAAGGCUGGAAAGAGGAAACAAAAGAAAGAAGAAAACACAGUGAUCACUACUCUAUUCUGGGCAUUUUGCUCACACAACACAGAUGCCCCCCAAUAAUUCUGCAAAACAGUAAGUUUUAAAGGAAGAUGUCAUAUCUGCUAAUAUCUUUUUGAUUAAAUGAAAGCUAUAGAGCUGGGGUUAUGGAAGUUCAAAGCAAGGAUCUUUCAAAUGUGACUGGUAUCCAUGACUGAAAAUA
rnacentral:lncRNA from 1 species